CCCACCUGAUGAGUGGCAUGGAUCUUGUUUGGAUGUGUUACGUUUCCAUCUCUAAUUAGGGUAGCCUCUGCAUUGCUUGUCAACCAAAUAAUCCCGAUGCCCCUACUUAGGUGAGCCUUUGAUAUUGUGGACCCAUUAGUGUGGAACGGUCAGCUUUCCUCAGUGGGAGCAACUGGUCGCAGAAUCACUCGAACUUGUAUCUAUUAAAAUCAUAAAACGAAAUUCGAUAUGUUUAAGAGCCUGUUUGCACACAACUGGUGUUGAACUGCAGAUCAGUUGAAUAGGAUUAGAAUUAGCUCCAUCCAUUCGUUUCAAGUGGGGAGAUGAAAGAAAAUUGGUAGGAGAACUGCUGGAUUCUGCCAGCUUCCAGCUUCCAUCCCUGAAAGUAUUUGAGAUGUGUGCACCGUCUCAUAUUUGAAUCCCCUUUCCUGUGACAAAUCUGAAAAACUUGGAUUUUUUUAUUUUUUAUUUUAUUUUUAAUCCCAUAUUCUGUCAUUCCUAACACACCUUCGGAAUUUUAAAUUUGGAGAAAAUGAGGAGGUAUGGCCAGAAUUACCCCCUCAGUUCAUGGAGAUUGCCAGAGUGGAUUAAAGGUAAAAGAUGUCUUUUCUUUUGGUGUUAAACCAAAAAAUGGUAACACCUAUUUGAGAUUGGACUAUUGGCAGCAACGAAAGCCUGCUAAACAAUGUAAGAAAAACAAGGAAAGAAACUAACUGUUAAUAAAAACCCACUUAACUUCCACUAACGAGCUCAACAAUGUAUAUCCAUCCCAAGAAAAUACAAGCAGGACUACAUCUCCAACUCAUCUAUGAAAGGCUGAAAACCAAUCACCACCGUUAAGGGCCUGCAGUUCUAUAGAUAGCAACUCAUUUAUUCCUGCAACAACCUGCUACAGCCUACAGCUAGGCAAAGGUAGUGGAGUAAGAUAUGUGGGUCCACUAAAUUCGCUUAACAAUUGGAUGAAUGUAGUAAGUAGUAACUAUGAGUUGGUUCGAUCAUGUUGCUCCAUGGAUGGUGAUCUUUGACGCAACAUUUAGGUCUCAGGUGUGAUCCCAAUUUACCUA